AUUUCAUGAAAUAAAUAAUGUUUAAGUGUAAUGUAAGACUGUGAUGUCAUCAAAUUUAAUGCAAUGAAUUGCAUUUUGAACAUUUUACCGAGAUUGGUUUUGCUUACUAGCUUCCUCCAUGCUGUACGGGCAGACUGAAGGGGAGAGAAGGUGUAUCCCAAAAAAAGUUUAAUUGUGCUCUGUGUGUUUCUGCAGGUAUGUUCGUUGUUUAUUGUGUUCAUACAUUGAGAAAUGUUUGAAAUGUUUAUGAAGUUUAUGAGUUUGAUAAAUCCAAAAAAGAGUGAGGUCUGUAUUCAAACGUGAUGUUGUCAAAAUUUAUAUAUAUUUUUUUGUGUGUAAAAUGUCAUUUUUGACAUUUUUUUUCUCCAUUUAAUUUAUUCACUGUUAUGAAUAAGUGGUGAGGAAUCUAUAUUUUAGAUUAUUUCAUAUGCCAUAUAAUGAUGACAUGUUUUUGUGAUUUAAUUUUAUCUUUUUUUGUUGAUGUCUUAUAUUUUGUAACUGUUAAUUGAGUAAAUUAAGAUCUUCAGAAGCACAUAUGCUGCUGACGAGGUCGGUUGUGCUGUCUCUCGCUCUUCAAAUGAGAGCGCUGCUUCCUCCAUGCUGUACGGGCAGACUGAAGGGGAGAGAAGGUGUAUCCCAAAAAAAUUUAAUUGUGCUCUGUGUGUUUCUGCAGACCUGCUUUUUGCAGAAUAAAACAUCCUGAGACCUCC